GAUGAAGAACGCAGCGAAAUGUGAUAAGUAAUGUGAAUUGCAGAAUUCAGUGAAUCAUCGAAUCUUUGAACGCACAUUGCGCCCGCCAGUAUUCUGGCGAGCAUGCCUGUUCGAGCGUCAUUUCAACCAUCAAGCCCCAGGCUUGUGUUGGAGCCCUGCGGCUGCCGCAGCCUCCCAAAACCAGUGGCGGGCUCGCUAUCACACCGAGUGCAGUAGUUUACUCUUCGCUCAGGGCGUGUGGCGGGUGCUAGCCGUGAAACCCCCAACUUCUCAAGGUUGACCUCGGAUCAGGUAGGAAUACCCGCUGAACUUAAGCAUAUCAAUAAGCGGAGGA
rnacentral:misc_RNA from 1 species